AUUGAACGCUGGCGGCAUGCCUUACACAUGCAAGUCGAACGGCAGCACGGGUGCUUGCACCUGGUGGCGAGUGGCGAACGGGUGAGUAAUAUAUCGGAACGUACCUUAUUGUGGGGGAUAACGCAGCGAAAGCUGUGCUAAUACCGCAUAAUCCCUAAGGGGGAAAGCGGGGGACCGUAAGGCCUCGCGCAAUUAGAGCGGCCGAUACCUGAUUAGUUAGUUGGUGAGGUAAAGGCUCACCAAGGCAACGAUCAGUAGCGGGUCGGAGAGGACGAUCAGCCACACUGGGACUGAGACACGGCCCAGACGCCUACGGGAGGCAGCAGUGGGGAAUUUUGGACAAUGGGGGCAACCCUGAUCCAGCAAUGCCGCGUGAGUGAAGAAGGCCUUCGGGUUGUAAAGCUCUUUUGUCAGGGAAGAAACAGCAGCUCUAACACAGUAUGCGAAUGACGGUACCUGAAGAAUAAGCACCGGCUAACUACGUGCCAGCCGCCGCCGUAA
rnacentral:rRNA from 1 species